UACGAAGGGGGCUAGCGUUGCUCGGAAUCACUGGGCGUAAAGCGCACGUAGGCGGAUUGCUAAGUCAGGGGUGAAAUCCUGGAGCUCAACUCCAGAACUGCCCUUGAUACUGGCGGUCUCGAGUCCGGGAGAGGUGAGUGGAACUGCGAAGUGUAGAGGUGAAAUUCGUAGAUAUUCGCAAGAACACCGGUGGCGAAGGCG
rnacentral:rRNA from 1 species